GUAGGUGUUUCAGUAAGUUGGAAGUGAAAGCCCCCGGCUCAACCGGGGAGGGUCAUUGGAAACUGGGGAACUUGAGUGCAGAAGAGAAGAGUGGAAUUCCACGUGUAGCGGUGAAAUGCGUAGAGAUGUGGAGGAACACCAGUGGCGAAGGCGACUCUUUGGUCUGUAACUGACGCUGAGGCGCGAAAGCGUGGGGAGCAAAC
rnacentral:rRNA from 1 species